AUUGAACGCUGGCGGCAGGCCUAACACAUGCAAGUCGAGCGAGAGGGGGACGGGUGAGUAAUGUCUGGGAAACUGCCUGAUGGGGGGGGAUAACUACUGGAGACGGUAGAGAAUACCGCACACCCUCAGAUGUGCCCAGCUGGGAUUAGAUGGUGGGGGGGGUAAUGGGUCCCCGAGGCGACGAUCCCUAGCUGGUCUGAGAGGAUGACCAGCCCAACUGGAACUGAGACACGGCCCAGACUCCUACGGGAGGCAGCAGUGGGGAAUAUUGCACAAUGGGCGAAAGCCUGAUGCAGCCAUGCCGCGUGUGUGAAGAAGGCCUGCGGGUUGUAAAGCACUUUCAGCGGGGAGGCGUUACCCGCAGAAGAAGCACCGGCUAACUCCGUGCCAGCAGCCGCGGUAAUAC
rnacentral:rRNA from 1 species